rnacentral:tRNA from 2 species
CAGAUAUUAGUUUAAUAAGAAUUUUAAUUUUGGAGAUUAAAGAUAAGAAGUAAUUUUUAUAUCUGA